rnacentral:lncRNA from 1 species
UAAGGAUAAGACAAGCUUAAGAUAAACCUAGUAGUCUUAGGAGUUAUCUAUAACUAUUAGGAAAAGGAAAUCUACUCUAAUAUAUAUAUACAUACCGAGUUGUGGUAUUGAUAUAACGAUAGAGGAGUGUUUUAGUUUUGAGCAUAUUUUCUAAGGCAUUCAAUAAAGAGAGCAAGUUCUUUAUAAUCGUGUGUGUGUUCGAGCUACUUUACACAGACCAUUGCAAACACCAAAACUAUCAUUCUUAGGAACAGAGGUGAUCUCUUUGGUUGCUUUAUUACAAUCGCUGCACUGUCCUGUAACGUCAAACAUCAAAACCUGAGAAUAUGCUAAACCCUAAUUCAACAAUUUCAUAUGUUAUGAAGAUAAAGAGAAGGUUGAUUCAGUUGAUAAAACAAACAUGCAGAGAAACCCAGAAGCUUAAAUCAUUAAAGAAGGUAGAAAGAGAGGACCUUUCCGUAUAAACAGAUGAACUCCGCCAUUGAUGCUUCUGGAAGCUUCUGAAACAGAGCAAACGUUAGAAGAGAAGAAGAGGGAGCUUUAGAUAGGGGGAGGAGAUGGAUUCAUGGAUUUUCUACAGAGAAUCUGACAAGGAAGAAGAAGAAGAAGAAGUAGGCCAAAAGAGAUUAGCAUUUUAAGGGUCUGAGCAGAGAGAUUUUGUAUAAAAUUAUAAAGUUUCAACCUCGUGGAAAGUCGAGCCACUGACAUUAAACCAUGGGGACUGUCUUUUUCUUCUUCGCUCAUU